GACGAACCGUGCGAACGUUGUUCGGAAUCACUGGGCUUAAAGGGCGCGUAGGCGGUCGACCAAGUCCGGGGUGAAAUCUUUCGGUCUAACCGGAAAAGUGCCUUGGAUACUGGCCGGCUGGAGGGAGGUAGGGGCAGGUGGAACUUCCAGUGGAGCGGUGAAAUGCGUUGAUAUUGGAAGGAACGCCGGUGGCGAAAGCGACCUGCUGGACCUCUUCUGACGCUGAGGCGCGAAAGCUAGGGGAGCAAACGGGG
rnacentral:rRNA from 1 species